AACGAACGCUGGCGGCAGGCCUAACACAUGCAAGUCGAGCGCCCCGCAAGGGGAGCGGCGGACGGGUGAGUAACACGUGGGAAUUUUCCUCAAGGUACGGAACAACUCAGGGAAACUUGGGCUAAUACCGUAUGAUGCAGAGAUGCCAAAGAUUUAUCGCCUUGGGAUAAGCCCGCGUCAGAUUAGGUAGUUGGUGGGGUAAUGGCCUACCAAGCCUGUGAUCUGUAGCUGGUCUGAGAGGACGAUCAGCCACAUUGGGACUGAGACACGGCCCAAACUCCUACGGGAGGCAGCAGUGGGGAAUCUUGCGCAAUGGACGAAAGUCUGACGCAGCCAUGCCGCGUGAAUGAUGAAGGUCUUAGGAUUGUAAAGUUCUUUAGCCUGUGACGAUGAUGACGGUAACAGGAGAAUAAGCCCCGGCUAACUUCGUGCCAGCAGCCGCGGUAAUACGAAGGGGGCUAGCGUUGUUCGGAAUUACUGGGCGUAAAGCGCGCGUAGGCGGUUAUGCAAGCCAGAGGUGAAAUGCCUGAGCUCAACUUAGGAAUUGCCUUUGGAACUGCAUGGCUUUGAGGACGAGAGAGGUGAGUGGAAUUCCCAGUGUAGAGGUGAAAUUCGUAGAUAUUGGGAAGAACACCGGUGGCGAAGGCGGC
rnacentral:rRNA from 1 species